rnacentral:rRNA from 1 species
UACGUAGGCGGCAAGCGUUGUCCGGAAUUAUUGGGCGUAAAGCGCGCGCAGGUGGUUCCUUAAGUCUGAUGUGAAAGCCCACGGCUCAACCGUGGAGGGUCAUUGGAAACUGGGGAACUUGAGUGCAGAAGAGGAAAGUGGAAUUCCAAGUGUAGCGGUGAAAUGCGUAGAGAUUUGGAGGAACACCAGUGGCGAAGGCGACUUUCUGGUCUGUAACUGACACUGAGGCGCGAAAGCGUGGGGAGCAAACAGG